rnacentral:lncRNA from 11 species
AUGGCCCUGGAGGGAGGUGUUAGCCCCCAACAAAGGAUUCCCUCGGGCAGGAAGCAGCCAGGAUUUGAAUCUGCAAGGCCAUUAAAUGCUAACCAAGGCGAUCGAUUGCAACAUUCACACUUGCCUCCACACUUGCGAAACGUCAGGAGAGAAUGCUCCUGGAACAUGGCCAGACAGCCCGGAAAACUCACAGCAACCCAACGCUAACCUUCUUCCUUCCCUGCUCGGCGGUGGCGAUUCCCGGGAGCGGCCGGCAGGUGGCGCCAGAUGCCUCCUCUUCCCGCCGCAGCGCGGUGAUGCUCUGCUUCUAGGACGGCGCGCCUCGGCAGCGCGGCACUUGGGCGAGCGCACACAAAGCGGCUGGGCGAAGCCUUGGCGGGGUUCUGGCUCUGGAUCUCUCCCUCCGACCCAAAGCCAGGGCGGGGGAUUGGAGGCGGCGGAAGGAAGGAAGGAAGGAAGGAAGGAAGGGACCGACGUUGGCAGCAGCCCUGCCCCGGGCCCCAAGAUGCACAGGAUAUUGGCCUUAGUUGUCUGGUGUUUCCUGCAAGUGGAAGGCAGGCACCCCGACAUUGCCCCCGCCCGGAGCAGCAGCCACGCCAGUUUCUUGGACAAUGACAAAUGGCUGAGCACCGUUUCCCAAUAUGACAAAGAUAAAUACUGGAACAAGUUCAGAGACCUCUACGGCUUGCUGUAGUUAAUUGCCAUGAUUUCUCUCUGAGAUGACUGACAUCUAAAAGUAUGGAGCUGAAGGGAAGGGGGUAGAAGAGGAAAUAGAUAUACGGCUAUCCUGAAGAUCAAAUGGAACAUUUCCUUUAGAAUCCCAUGAACCUUCUGAAGCCCCUACAGCAUGACCUUGUUUUUUCAUCUCGAUUAAACCAAAAGAGAAGAUUGCUUGUCUCUGAAAUGUGCAUGUGCAAAGUCACACAUUUAAAAUGCUGAAAGCAAUGGUUAUACUUCAUCAGAGUUGUCUUUUGUGGUGAGGGGGUGAAAAACAAGUAGAAAUGGGUUACUGAAAACAUAUUUUUGUUCUUAUUCAAAAUAUGAUCAAACAGUGAAAGCUUUUCC